rnacentral:rRNA from 1 species
UACGUAGGGUGCAAGCGUUGUCCGGAAUUAUUGGGCGUAAAGAGUUCGUAGGCGGUUUGUCGCGUCCGUUGUGAAAGCUUGGGGCUCAACCCCAGGUCUGCAGUGGAUACGGGCAGGCUAGAGUCAGGUAGGGGAGAACGGAAUUCCUGGUGUAGCGGUGAAAUGCGCAGAUAUCAGGAGGAACACCGGUGGCGAAGGCGGUUCUCUGGGCCUGUACUGACGCUGAGGUGCGAAAGCGUGGGGAGCAAACAGG